rnacentral:rRNA from 1 species
GACGAACGCUGGCGGCGUGCCUAAUACAUGCAAGUCGAACGAAGCUGUUUUAACUGGUGCUUGCACCGACUUAAACAACUGAGUGGCGAACGGGUGAGUAACACGUGGGUAACCUGCCCCAAAGCGGGGGAUAACAUUUGGAAACAGAUGCUAAUACCGCAUAACCACAGAAACCACAUGGUUUCCGUGUCAAAGAUGGUUUCGGCUAUCACUUUGGGAUGGACCCGCGGCGUAUUAGCUAGGUGGUAAGGUAAUGGCUUACCAAGGCAAUGAUACGUAGCCGAACUGAGAGGUUGAUCGGCCACAUUGGGACUGAGACACGGCCCAAACUCCUACGGGAGGCAGCAGUAGGGAAUCUUCCACAAUGGACGAAAGUCUGAUGGAGCAACGCCGCGUGAGUGAAGAAGGUUUUCGGAUCGUAAAACUCUGUUGUCAGAGAAGAACGUGUGCGAGAGUAACUGCUCGUGCAGUGACGGUAUCUGGCCAGAAAGCCACGGCUAACUACGUGCCAGCAGCCGCGGUAAAAC